rnacentral:rRNA from 1 species
CACGUAGGGUGCAAGCGUUGUCCGGAAUCAUUGGGCGUAAAGAGCUCGUAGGCGGCUUAGUAAGUCGGGUGUGAAAACCCCAGCUCAACCUGGGGACGCCACCCGAUACUGCUAUAGCUAGAGUCCAGUAGGGGAGUGUGGAAUUCCCAGUGUAGCGGUGAAAUGCGCAGAUAUUGGGAGGAACACCAGCGGCGAAGGCGGUUCUCUGGGACGGUACUGACGCUGAGACGCGAAAGCGUGGGGAGCAAACAGG